rnacentral:rRNA from 1 species
AGCGAACGCUGGCGGCAGGCCUAACACAUGCAAGUCGAACGAACUCUUCGGAGUUAGUGGCGGACGGGUGAGUAACACGUGGGAACGUGCCUUUUGGUUCGGAAUAACUCAGGGAAACUUGUGCUAAUACCGAAUGUGCCCUUCGGGGGAAAGAUUUAUCGCCAUUAGAGCGGCCCGCGUCUGAUUAGCUAGUUGGUGAGGUAACGGCUCACCAAGGCGACGAUCAGUAGCUGGUCUGAGAGGAUGACCAGCCACACUGGGACUGAGACACGGCCCAGACUCCUACGGGAGGCAGCAGUGGGGAGUCUUGCGCAAUGGGCGAAAGCCUGACGCAGCCAUGCCGCGUGAAUGAUGAAGGUCUUAGGAUUGUAAAAUUCUUUCACCGAGGACGAUAAUGACGGUACCCGGAGAAGAAGCCCCGGCUAACUUCGUG